rnacentral:rRNA from 1 species
GACGAACGCUGGCGGCGUGCUUAACACAUGCAAGUCGAACGGAAAGGCUCCAGCUUGCUGGAGUACUCGAGUGGCGAACGGGUGAGUAACACGUGGGUAAUCUGCCCUGCACUCUGGGAUAAGCCUGGGAAACUGGGUCUAAUACUGGAUAUGACCUUUCUCCUUAUGGGGUUUGGUGGAAAGUUUUUCGGUGUAGGAUGAGCCCGCGGCCUAUCAGCUUGUUGGUGGGGUGAUGGCCUACCAAGGCGACGACGGGUAGCCGGCCUGAGAGGGUGAUCGGCCACAUUGGGACUGAGAUACGGCCCAGACUCCUACGGGAGGCAGCAGUAGGGAAUAUUGCACAAUGGGCGGAAGCCUGAUGCAGCGACGCCGCGUGAGGGAUGACGGCCUUCGGGUUGUAAACCUCUUUCAGCAGGGACGAAGCGUAAGUGACGGUACCUGCAGAAGAAGCACCGGCUAACUAUGCG